GAUGAACGCGGCGGCGUGCUUAACACAUGCAAGUCGAACGAUGAAGCCCAGCUUGCUGGGUGGAUUAGUGGCGAACGGGUGAGUAACACGUGAGUAACCUGCCCUUGACUCUGGGAUAAGCCCGGGAAACUGGGUCUAAUACCGGAUAGGAGCGCCUGUCGCAUGACGGGUGUUGGAAAGAUUUUUCGGUCAUGGAUGGACUCGCGGCCUAUCAGCUUGUUGGUGAGGUAAUGGCUCACCAAGGCGACGACGGGUAGCCGGCCUGAGAGGGUGACCGGCCACACUGGGACUGAGACACGGCCCAGACUCCUACGGGAGGCAGCAGUGGGGAAUAUUGCACAAUGGGCGGAAGCCUGAUGCAGCGACGCCGCGUGAGGGAUGACGGCCUUCGGGUUGUAAACCUCUUUCAGCAGGGAAGAAGCGAAAGUGACGUACCUGCAG
rnacentral:rRNA from 1 species